AUUAGAUGAGCCUAUAUUAGAUUAGCUAGUUGGUGGAGUAAUAGCCUACCAAGGCAAUGAUCUAUAGCUGAUCUGAGAGGAUGAUCAGCCACACUGGAACUGAGAUACGGUCCAGACUCCUACGGGAGGCAGCAGUGGGGAAUAUUGGACAAUGGGCGAGAGCCUGAUCCAGCUAUGCCGCAUGAGUGAAGAAGGCCUUUGGGUUGUAAAGCUCUUUUAGUGAGGAAGAUAAUGACGGUACUCACAGAAGAAGUCCUGGCUAACUCCGUGCCAGCAGCCGCGGUAAUACGGAGAGGGCUAGCGUUAUUCGGAAUUAUUGGGCGUAAAGGGCGCGUAGGCUGAUUAAUAAGUUAAAAGUGAAAUCCCGAGGCUUAACCUUGGAAUUGCUUUUAAAACUAUUAAUCUAGAGAUUGAAAGAGGAUAGAGGAAUUCCUGAUGUAGAGGUAAAAUUCGUAAAUAUUAGGAGGAACACCAGUGGCGAAGGCGUCUAUCUGGUUCAAAUCUGACGCUGAAGCGCGAAGGCGUGGGGAGCAAACAGGAUUAGAUACCCUGGUAGUCCACGCUGUAAACGAUGAAUGUUAAAUAUGGGAAGUUGA
rnacentral:rRNA from 1 species